rfam:Aedes albopictus isolate Foshan contig28901, whole genome shotgun sequence.
UAGCCUAGUGGUUAAGGCUAUGGACCGCCAAUCCGAAGACUGCGGGUUCGAUUCCCGU